ACGGGUGAGUAAUGCCUAGGAAUCUGCCUGGUAGUGGGGGAUAACGUUCGGAAACGAACGCUAAUACCGCAUACGUCCUACGGGAGAAAGCAGGGGACCUUCGGGCCUUGCGCUAUCAGAUGAGCCUAGGUCGGAUUAGCUAGUUGGUGAGGUAAUGGCUCACCAAGGCGACGAUCCGUAACUGGUCUGAGAGGAUGAUCAGUCACACUGGAACUGAGACACGGUCCAGACUCCUACGGGAGGCAGCAGUGGGGAAUAUUGGACAAUGGGCGAAAGCCUGAUCCAGCCAUGCCGCGUGUGUGAAGAAGGUCUUCGGAUUGUAAAGCACUUUAAGUUGGGAGGAAGGGCAGUUACCUAAUACGUGAUUGUUUUGACGUUACCGACAGAAUAAGCACCGGCUAACUCUGUGCCAGCAGCCGCGGUAAUACAGAGGGUGCAAGCGUUAAUCGGAAUUACUGGGCGUAAAGCGCGCGUAGGUGGUUCGUUAAGUUGGAUGUGAAAUCCCCGGGCUCAACCUGGGAACUGCAUUCAAAACUGUCGAGCUAGAGUAUGGUAGAGGGUGGUGGAAUUUCCUGUGUAGCGG
rnacentral:rRNA from 1 species